GCGUGGUUAGUUCAGUGGUUAGAAUUCUCGCUUCCCAUCCUCAUCGUGGAACAGCGAGGGACCCGAGUUCGAAUCUCGGAUCACGCA